rnacentral:lncRNA from 1 species
ACCGAGCUACUCCAAACACUUUCUGAGCUUCACUACCAGCCAAUUUUCUAUAGUGAUCGACUAUUCUCCGAAUCCCUUCCAGACUUCUUUCGGCCAUGGACGACUCUACUCUGAACUUCUUUCAAACUUCGUCAAUGUCCGAGCUUCUCUGAUAGUGGGAUUUCUACAGUAACCAGACUUCAUCCAAGUUUCUACAGUGGUCGACCACCUUCUGGAUUCC